rnacentral:rRNA from 1 species
AUUGAACGCUGGCGGCAGGCCUAACCCAUGCAAGUCGAGCGGUGCGGCGGACGGGUGCGUAAUGACUAGGAAGUUACCUGGCAGUGAGGGAUAACGUACGGAAGGGGACGCUAAUACAGAAUACUAUUGCAAGAGCCGAGGGCGGACUAGCUGGUUGGUGGGGGAAAGGUCUACCAAGACGACGAUCCGUAACUGGUCGGAUAGGAUGAUCAGUCACACUGGAACUGAGACACGGUCCAGACUCCUACGGGAGGCAGCAGUGGGGAAUAUUGGACAAUGGGCGAAAGCCUGAUCCAGCCAUGCCGCGUGUGUGAAGAAGGUCUUCGGAUUGUAAAGCACUUUAAGUUGGUAGGCGUUACCAACAGAAGAAGCACCGGCUAACUUCGUGCCAGCCGCCGCGGUAAUUC